CCCGCUGAACUUAAGCAUAUCAAUAAGCGGAGGAAAAGAAACCAACAGGGAUUGCCUCAGUAACGGCGAGUGAAGCGGCAAGAGCUCAAAUUUGAAAGCUGGCUCCUUCGGGGUCCGCAUUGUAAUUUGCAGAGGAUGCUUCGGGAGCAGCCCCCAUCUAAGUGCCCUGGAACGGGCCGUCAUAGAGGGUGAAAAUCCCGUAUGGGAUGGGGUGUCUGCGCCCAUGUGAAGCUCCUUCGACGAGUCGAGUUGUUUGGGAAUGCAGCUCUAAAUGGGUGGUAAAUUUCAUCUAAAGCUAAAUAUUGGCCGGAGACCGAUAGCGCACAAGCAGAGUGAUCGAAAGAUGAAAAGCACUUUGAAAAGAGAGUUAAAAAGCACGUGAAAUUGUUGAAAGGGAAGCGCUUGCGAUCAGACUCGCCUUGGGGGUUCAGCCGGCAUUCGUGCCGGUGUACUUCCCCCAGGGCGGGCCAGCGUCGGUUUGGGUGGCCGGUCAAAGGCCCUUGGAAUGUAACGCCUCUCGGGGCGUCUUAUAGCCAAGGGUGCCAUGCGGCCUACCUGGACCGAGGAACGCGCUUCGGCUCGGACGCUGGCAUAAUGGUCGUAAGCGACCCGUCUUGAAACACGG
rnacentral:rRNA from 1 species